GGCUUUUAGCCUUUUACUAGCUUCAGUCAGGCCACCGCCAUCGUGGGAGAGACAGAGACCAUGCUAUCAGGCUAGCUGGCUAACCUCAGCCCGCCGCGUGACACGGGACCACAAACCCUCCUAGCCCAGCCCAGUUUCACCACCUGGGUCCCCCUCAUCUCCAUCUCCUGUGCUGCUGCUCUCUCUGCAGGCUUGUGGCUUGGGAUUCCUGCGGUAGUCACAAACCCUAGAUUCUUGGUUGCACACGGGCUCUGAGCUCCAGGAGUUUCUUCCCUCUCGUACCCUCUCGUUCAGUCAUCCUCCUCGACUCCAGCCAGGGGCUCUGGACUCAUCUGGCUUCUUCCCUGUCAUGGCUUCCAACAGCAUCUUUGACUCCUUUUCCAACUACAGUAAUAGUCUUCUCAGAGG